rfam:Dictyostelium lacteum strain TK GLQOFTK02G2F2O, whole genome shotgun sequence.
AUGACCAAACUCUUAGGAUUCAUUUCAAGAGGAACGUCAAAGUAUUUUUUAUUCUGAAAAUACUCAAAAUCUCAGCAAGGAUGUUGAUCCAUACUUUCACAGCUUUAGCGGGAAGCCGACUUUGAUUAUUGAUUUCUAUCAACAGUCACUGUCAUUGAUGAUCGUCUUUAUAGGAAGUAGGAUUUCUAUUUAGUUGUUGUGAAAGUUUCUGACUUGC